CAUGCAGUCGACGAUGAACCUCACUUGUGGGGGGAUUAGUGGCGAACGGGUGAGUAACACGUGAGUAACCUGCCCUUGACUCUGGGAUAAGCCUGGGAAACCGGGUCUAAUACUGGAUACGACCUUCUGGCGCAUGCCAUGUUGGUGGAAAGCUUUUGUGGUUUUGGAUGGACUCGCGGCCUAUCAGCUUGUUGGUGGGGUAAUGGCCUACCAAGGCGACGACGGGUAGCCGGCCUGAGAGGGUGACCGGCCACACUGGGACUGAGACACGGCCCAGACUCCUACGGGAGGCAGCAGUGGGGAAUAUUGCACAAUGGGCGCAAGCCUGAUGCAGCGACGCCGCGUGAGGGAUGAAGGCCUUCGGGUUGUAAACCUCUUUCAGUAGGGAAGAAGCCGGCUUUUUGGGUUGGUGACGGUACCUGCAGAAGAAGCGCCGGCUAACUACGUGCCAGCAGCCGCGGUAAUACGUAGGGCGCAAGCGUUAUCCGGAAUUAUUGGGCGUAAAGAGCUCGUAGGCGGUUUGUCGCGUCUGCCGUGAAAGUCCGGGGCUUAACCCCGGAUCUGCGGUGGGUACGGGCAGACUAGAGUGCAGUAGGGGAGACUGGAAUUCCUGGUGUAGCGGUGAAAUGCGCAGAUAUCAGGAGGAACACCGAUGGCGAAGGCAGGUCUCUGGGCUGUAACUGACGCUGAGGAGCGAAAGCAUGGGGAGCGAACAGGAUUAGAUACCCUGGUAGUCCAUGCCGUAAACGUUGGGCACUAGGUGUGGGGGACAUUCCACGUUUUCCGCGCCGUAGCUAACGCAUUAAGUGCCCCGCCUGGGGAGUACGGCCGCAAGGCUAAAACUCAAAGGAAUUGACGGGGGCCCGCACAAGCGGCGGAGCAUGCGGAUUAAUUCGAUGCAACGCGAAGAAUCUUACCAAGGCUUGACAUGAACCGGAAUGAUGCAGAGAUGUGUCAGCCACUUGUGGGCCGGUUUACA
rnacentral:rRNA from 1 species